GAUGAACGCUGGCGGCGUGCCUAAUACAUGCAAGUAGAACGCUGAAGGAAGGAGCUUGCUCUUUCCGGAUGAGUUGCGAACGGGUGAGUAACGCGUAGGUAACCUGCCUGGUAGCGGGGGAUAACUAUUGGAAACGAUAGCUAAUACCGCAUAACAGUAGAUGUUGCAUGACAUUUACUUGAAAGGUGCAAAUGCACCACUACCAGAUGGACCUGCGUUGUAUUAGCUAGUUGGUGAGGUAACGGCUCACCAAGGCGACGAUACAUAGCCGACCUGAGAGGGUGAUCGGCCACACUGGGACUGAGACACGGCCCAGACUCCUACGGGAGGCAGCAGUAGGGAAUCUUCGGCAAUGGACGGAAGUCUGACCGAGCAACGCCGCGUGAGUGAAGAAGGUUUUCGGAUCGUAAAGCUCUGUUGUAAGAGAAGAACGAGUGUGAGAGUGGAAAGUUCACAC
rnacentral:rRNA from 1 species